rnacentral:rRNA from 1 species
GAUGAACGCUGGCGGCGUGCUUAACACAUGCAAGUCGAACGGUGAACGAGGGAGCUUGCUCCCUCCGGAUCAGUGGCGAACGGGUGAGUAACACGUGAGCAAUCUGCCCUGGACUCUGGGAUAAGCGUUGGAAACGACGUCUAAUACCGGAUACGAGACGCGAAGGCAUCUUCAGCGUCUGGAACGAACUUCGGUCCAGGAUGAGCGCGCGGCUUAUCAGCUAGUUGGGGAGGUAACGGCUACCCAAGGGGACGACGGGUAGCCGGCCUGAGGAGGUGACCGGCCACACUGGGACUGAGACACGGAGCAGAGUCCUACGGGAGGCAGCAGUGGGGAGUAUUGCACAAUGGGCGCAAGCCUGAUGCAGCAACGCCGCGUGAGGGACGACGGCCUUCGGGUUGUAAACCUCUUUUAGCAGGGAAGAAGCGAAAGUGACGGUACCUGCAGAAAAAGCACCGGCUAACUACGUGCCAGCAGCCGCGGUAACAC